rnacentral:lncRNA from 1 species
UGAGUGCUGUCAGACAGAUGAAUGGGAUGUAUCCAGAAUGGAAAAGAAUGCAUAUCAUUUACUAAGAGACAAAGUGAAGAAGAGGAAAGAAGGGGAAUAAAAAAAGAUAAAAAUAAAGAUGUGAUUUCCAAAAUAUAUCACUAUUCAUACUGCACUCCUAG